AAUCUAAAUAGAGGUGCGCUGAAGAUGAGUAGAUCUUUUCGAAAACUGCCAGGGGGCGGGAAAAGAGAGAAAGGCUGAUGCGCCGAAGCUUUUGCCACCCCCCUUUGGCGGCAGAGGCUGGGAUUGACGUGAAGAACCAAAAUCCUGUCAUCUAAGGCCUUGCGCCUUUUGUGGAGUGCUAUUUACGAU
rnacentral:ncRNA from 2 species